rnacentral:lncRNA from 1 species
GUUACCGAGUGACGGCGCUGGACCUUGCAGCCACCGGCAUCAACAUGAAGAAAAUCCAGGAUGUUCAUUCAUUUUACGAAUACAAUGAACCUCUGUUGGAGUUUUUGGCCUCACUUUCGGCAGGCGAAAAGGUCGUAUUGUCGGCCACAGCGCUGGAGGCUUGAGUUUGGCCCUGGCAGCUGACAAGUUCCCACACAAAAUUUCAGUUGCUAUUUUCUUAACAGCAUUCAUGCCAGACACCAAACACCAACCAUCUUAUGUUGUGGAGCGGGUAUUUGAAUAAUUUAUUUCAUUAUUUGUUUAUUUAUUUGGAUGAAGUUAUCAACGAUUCACCCAUUAUUUCCUCUAAUUCUAAAAAGAAAAUACCAAAACCUUUAAGUUUGUAUCACUUUCCCCACCUUCUGUUAAAAUUGUUAGAGAAUCUUAGCAAACUGACUAUUUUAUUUUUGAAGUAUAGUUUAACAAAAGGAUAGAAAAUUGAUUCUUUUUACAGACGUUAGUGUGUUAAUUGUUUAAAUUAUCCUUAUGAUAUCAUCAUAAGUUAAAGUCUCUCAAUGUUAAAGUCGCGAAGUGAUACACUUAGAUAAUGGGUCCAUUAAGCAAAUUAAGAAUUUUUGAAUUUUUUAUAAAUAGGAAAAAAAAUAGGUGAUCAAUUGAUAAUUUUACCCUUUAUGUAUUACUAUCGAAUUAAUUUAUAACUCGUUUCCUAAGUUAGAGAGCUUACAAUUUUAUUUUAUUUGUAACUUUUUGUUUGUGCUGAAAAGUUUUUUGAAAGGAUUCCAAGUGGGGAAUGGUUGGACACUCAAUUUUCAGUGAUUGACUCAUCAAAUCCUUCUCGCAAGACAAUAUUUUUCGGUCACAGCUUCUUGACUCUCAAGCUGUAUCAGCUUAGUCCUCCUGAGGUAUAAGUCUUCUUCUUCUUAUUCUUAUUAUUUUUCCUUAUAGAGAUUUUCGAUACAUAAAUUGUAAUAUAGAUAAGACAUUUAAUGAAUAUAGGUCCAGAAAUUUAUUCCCACUAAUAUUUAGGGAGGGAUUUACACCGAAUCCGCCUUUUUUUUUUUUAAAUAGGGAUUGAAUCAUUGAAUUGAGCCCCAUAUGGAGCUCAAUCUAAAUCCCUCAUCAGGCUAAUUUACUGCAUCAUAAUUAAAUUAUUAAAUGUCGAUCAAACAUUGUAUAAGGUAAUAUUAUAUUUGUUUAUUUUGAUUAAAAGGAUGUGGAGCUGGGAAAGAUGUUAUUGAGGCCUGGACUAGUAUUUGUUGAUGAAUUAUCCAAGGCAAAUAAGUUCAGUAAUGAAGGAUAUGGAUCCGUAACGCGAGUCUAUGUGGUAUGCGAUGAGGAUAUUUGUGUUCCUAAGGAAUUUCAGUACUGGAUGAUCCAAAACAAUCCUGUAGAUGAGGUGAUAGAGAUAAAGGGUGUAGAUCAUAUGCCGAUGCUUUCCAAGCCCCAACAACUUUUUGACUGUCUCUCUCACAUUGCUCAUAAGUAUGCUUAAUUUAUUGCUAAACAAUAAUGAUAUGCCCACAACAGUUUGUAAUUGAAUUAGCAACUUACGUGGCAUAAACAUGACAAGUGUUGCCCUGAUUUUUUAUAUACAACAAAGAUAUUUAGAUGAAGGAUAUUGUCACCUUACAUAAUUACUUAGAUGAAUGGACCACAUUCUGUUUUUAUGCAUUUGGGACAUAUCAUGUGAAUUGAAUUUGAAUUGUUAUGUCAUGUACUCAAAAUGUGUCAUCAGACAUGACUUUGGGUAGCUUUCAAAAUUUUAGACUAAAUAGAAAAGAACAAAAGAAAAACAAAUCCAUCAACAAGAAGAUAUCGAUGCUUCCUCUUCAAAAAAAUGUUCAGAAAGUUUACAGUCGUUAAUUAAUACAUUUUGAGACUCUAAAUUAAAUAGAUCCGUGAAAUUGCCUGAGUUGUUUAACCACUUGAACCACUGUUGGCCUAUCUUGUUCGGAUUUAGAAAAGACAUUUAAUGGCAAGCUCUGUGUGGCUACGCAAUUGUUUCUCCUUUUCAGGCCAUAAACCUUCUUCUCCAACAAUUGCAGGAUGUACAAUCUCUUUAAAACUUUUGCUUUCAAUGCUUUUCUUCACAAGCUCCUGCAAAAAAUAUUGCUCACCGUUUUCACUCAUCCUGUUUUCCAGUCAGAAGCUCAAGAAGCAAUGCGCCGAAGCUGUAACAUCACUCUUCUCAUCGCAAUUACCUGUAGUCAUGCACUCCGGUGCAAUAAAUCCAAAGGUUCCGAUCAGCUUAUCAUUAUCAUUUACGUGAGUCUUACCUUCUGGGAUAGAUAUAGAUAAAGAAAAAUUGAAAAAUUUAGCAACAUUUCGUUCCUGGAACAAGACAGUAGACGGUUUAAUGUCGCGAAAGACAAUUGGCCUGGAGAAUCCAACAUGGAGAUAUGCGACUGCAUUAGCUAUCUCCAUGACAACCUUUAGCCUAUGCUUCAUGAGAAAAGGCUCCAAUUACAUGCUAAGGAAAUAAGAACUCUCCAAGACAUUUCAUUUAGUCGACUUGAAAGGAAAACAAAAAACAAAACAUCAAUUAUUGGGUAAACGCAGUCAAUUUUUUUUUUCCCUUAUGGUUGCGUGUCUAAAAGAAACAAUCAAUCCCGACGAUCAUGCUUAUUAUAAGUUUUCGGAAAGCAAAAUAAUUCUUUAGGUGGCAACAGUUCAGAUAAUAAGGUUGGAAAGAGCAGAUAACACCAGACUUGAGAGAGAGGGAGCUCUGCAAUAAUUGAUGUAAUUUUCUUGUAAAUGAGUUCGCUAAAAUGACAGUCCAGUAUAAAGGUUAAGUUUUCUGGAAAGGAACAUCAUUUAUCUUCCUUGAAGUAGGUGAGCUUUUUCCCAAAUCAUUAAUUAGUUAAAUUUAUGUUCUUGAUGCAGGAGAUGCUUCUGCCUCGUCAUUGCCAAUAACACCGGCUAACGACUCUGAUUGUAUAACCCCGACUCCUUGGAGAAACGAAUCGAGCUUUUAUGAGUUGGUUAUCAGAAGUCUAAGAAGACAACAACUAGAGCGGCAAAAAGCAGAUCAGGAUGCAAAUAGUGAAGUGAGUGAUCUCAAUCACUUUGAUGGCACAAGUAAUAGGAGGUAGUCUCGGCCUCUUUAAGCUGAAAACAGUGGUACUUAGUCACACCAUUGAGUGGCACACUUGAAGUUUCAGAUAGCGUCCUAAUAGCCUAAUAGUAGGGGUGUUUAAAAUUACAAAUUCUAUCAGUAAAAAUUCAAUCAUGGAUUGGAUUGAAUUUUUUUUUUUGAAUUAAAUGAGACACUACCUAAAUUUUAUCCUCUCAAAUAUUACCAUAAUUAAAGAAUAAAAUAAGCCUCUACAUGCGUCAUGGGCGCUCAGUGGUUGGAUUGAAUUGAUUUGAAGAUUUUAAAAUCCUUAAUUGGUUGAUUGUAGAUAGAUUUGCAGAAGCAAAAAUUCACACAUUAGUCGCAAAAAAGUAAUAUUUAUUUAAUUUAAACAGAAAAAGUAUAAAUGUGGCAUUAUUGGUAGAUAAACAAAUUAAAAUAUAAUUACACUAAAACCACAUUAUAUCUUAUCAAUUAAUAUUAAAAAAUAAUUAAAUAAAUAAAUAUAGGUACCCAGUUUCAAGUUUUGUAUUGAUUUAAUUCCAUAAUUUUAAUUAAUUUUCAUAUAUUGAUUUAAACAAAUUAAAGUUGUCAUUUUUUGAUGUGUUGUAAUUUGAAAUUAUGAAUGUAUUAUUUUAUUUUUAUUAAAUGAUAACUUAUUUAGAUCUUAUUAAAUAUUAAAUUUAAUCGAUAGUAGACAUGCUAUGAGAUUGGUUAUUUAAAUUUAGUGAUAUUUGCGCAAAAAAUAGUACGAAAAAUAGCACAUCAUCAUUAAACGAUAAAAAAAUUCACCAAAAGAUAAGAAUUUUUGUCCUUUGUGUUUGUUGUAUUAAAUAUUUUUUUUUGUACAUAUGGUAUUAUUCUAUUGACAAAAAAGAAAAAACAAGUAGUGGGUGUUGACAUUGAAAUUGGAUAAGCCCAAGAGACAAGAGUGGCUAAAGAAGUAGCUUCCUUUAAAGCCUAGGCAUUGUUAAUUGGAACAACAAAUGAUAAUGAAAGCAAAGGAAAUAGCAGAAAAUUCAUAAAUAAGAAGCACAAAUUCAACACGGUGGUAAUCCAACACCACAUUUUUCUUAGCCAAAUUCAACAUGGUGGAAAUAAUAUCUUUUAAUUAUUGGUGGCAGUUCGUGUAAUCAUGUUGCAUUUGUGUAGUACCGUAAUCUUAUCAUGUUAAAUUUAAGAAAUACAAAUAUGACUUUUUUAAUAAUACUGGCAGAAUAUUUAAACACGAAUAUGGCCUCUUUAAUAAACAUGUGAUAAGACAUGACACAUUUGACACAAUACUUGCCAUACUAAUGAUUGAGUGAUUGAUUCGAGAGCUUUAUUUUAUGUUACUAAUUAGUAUAACUACUUCACAUCUUAUAUUAAUGGUGAUUAUGACUAUGUCAGGAUAAGAAAUAAACAAGCAUCUUAGACUAUGAGAACAAGAGAUAUUUGCUUAUAAAUCAACAUUUGUUGUAAAUUGUUGCUCAAAGAUGUCAAUAUCAAAUGUUCGUACUAGCAAGCUUGAUGAUGGUUAUUCUUUCUAAUUUGGUGAAACAAAAUAGAAGCUCACCAAAAGCUCUUGAGUGUUAGCAAGGGGAAAGAAAGUUAAUGUUCUCCAUGCAAUAGAAGCUAAUAUCUAGAAAGAAAAUGUGAAAGUGGCAAAACUUCUGAUAUGAGACAUGAGAUAAAAGGUUUAAUCACAUCGGUGAGAAAGGGCGGGCUAGAAACUCUGGUUAGAAAGAAGAAUAUACCUAGUUUGGUAGAUAUAUCCUUUAAGACUUGUGUUCAUUGUUUAACUGCAAAGACACGUAUAACGGUGUCAGAGACUAAAUUCACCAACAAUCUUGGCCCAAUAGUCUAAUAGAGAGAAUGUAUGGCUGUACUUAUAAUACAAGGCAUGAUGUGUGAUAGGGUUGGCAAUGGGACGGGAUGGGAUGGGAUUUACCAAUCCCAGUCCCAUCCCGUAUAUGCAAAUGGGAUGAAAAAACGUCCUAUUCCCGUCCCUAUAUUUUUUUUUGGGACAAAAAUAUGUCCCAAUCCCGUCCCAAAAGAGAUUGGAUCUUGCAGGAUCCCAUCCCAAUUGGAAAAAUUUACAUUCUUAAUCAGUAAUGAGACGGGAUGGGACGAAAUUUGUCAAUCUCACUCCCGUUCCCGCAUAUGUAAUUGGGAUAAAAAAUGUCCCACUCCCGUCCCUAAAUUUUUUUAUGGGACAAAAAUAUAUUCCAAUCCCGUCCCAAAUGGGAUGGGAUCUCGCAUGAUCCCAUUCUAUCGGAAAAAAAAUUACCAUCCCUAAUGUGUGAGGGUGAAAUUGUUAGGAUUAUUCAACAUUGUUGUGGAAGGGGCUUGAUGUGUGAGGGAAAAUCUCACCCUUUAAACUAACUUUUGGGAUUUAGAGAGGUACAAGACCACCUGACAGCAUCAAAUUUGUGAACAUCACGCUUCUCAUUGCAAUGGACUGGCAAUGGUGAGGAACUCGAUUCUCAAGAGUCCUUAGGCUUCAAAGUUGAAAACUAAUAUUGGGAUUUGACUUUCCAGAUAGCAUCCUACCUAUUUUAGAACUUUUUUUGGGCUCAUUUGGGAUGUAAAUGCAAUUCAAUUAAAACAAUACUGGUCUGCAUUGUCCUCAUUAUCAUUAAACUUUAUAACAGAAAUAGGAUGAUCGUGCUACAGAUCCUUACUCAAUUUAUACAGCAAAUCAUUUAUUAUAAUCUUACUUGGUCAUAGUUGUUUGUUGCCGCCUUUGGCUCUUUGGAAGUGAAGUUAACAAUAAGAUUGUAUUUGCCAUUGCUAGAGGCAAUCAACGUUUCUGGUAAAACUUUGAACUCCGUAUCAUAACUCUUUCUUUUUUGCAUUUUCCAAAGACAAGAUUAUUCUUAGAUACAAACUCAUCUAACCUAUACAAAAUCCCAGGGACACGAAUACUAAAACACAAAUUAAAAUGAAUAUUAUUUGAAAAGAAAUUAAAGUAUGCAAAUACAAAGAAAAUUUUGAAGGAAGACAAGGUACCUUGCGGAUUUCCAGUACUUGUUUCUUCUGGCAAGUAUGGGAAAGUCUUCUCCUAGAUUUAAAAAUUAAAAUAAUUAGAAGACUAAAUGGGGGAGUUCUGUAGAGUUUUAAACAAGGGCACUGUCAAGAGAGUUGACUUAAUAUAGUUUAAAAAUCAGAGUUCAGAUAUUUAAACCAGAAAUGUGAUAAAAUAAACUAUAACACUAUGUUGUGCUAAAGAACGAAAAUAAAACAACUAAUUAAUACUGUAACACCAUAUGAUUUUGUAAUUUAUUUUGUCAGUCUUUAGUCUCCUUAACAAUGGAGUCUUGCAACUGCUCUGAAAUUCAGAAUUCGAAUGUCUUUUGGGUAGUGCUUUAACUUCCACUCAAAAAAUGGUUAAGAUCCAAAUUUAAGUAAAAGCUUUCAACCGAUGAGUUGUUGACAAGGAUACAUUUUUAAAAGAAAAGUUAUUAAUACAUUUUAAAAAAAUUAAAAUAGGGAAUAACCAGCACAACAUGAAACGUCAGUCGGUAAUAAAAGAAAGCAUAAGUGUUUACCAUCGAUGGGUAGCAACACCUGGGUUGUUUUCUAUUGCCCGCUCAUUAUCUCAUUUAAUUUUCUGUUAUUUAUAAAUUUUGCCAACGAUCGAAUUAUAGCUCGUCUUCAACAACCCUAUUCACUUGAACACAUUCCUCUAGAAGCAGAAUAUCAGGUUGGUGACCCAGUGAAACAUGCUUUUAACAACCAGACUGGAAGUAUAUUAUGAAACUUGGUUUUGAUUGUUAAUUUAGACUAGUUUAUUUAGAUUGCAUGUUCCAACAAACAUCUGUACUGUUCAGAAAUUGGAGUGAAGGAUUUAUGUGGGUUAAUCUCCAGUAAAUCUUAUGGAUUUGGUUUUUAAGAAUUGUGAAUUGAGUUUCAAUGUCAAUGAACCACAUAUUCGAGACGUGAAUUAAAUUUGGGUUCAAAUUCUGGCAAUUUUUAGUAUAUUGAAGUUUCUCUUUGUCAUAGUACUUGUUUGACUCAGAUGUCCUCAAACUUUCCUUAAGGUUAGUGAAAUAAAUUUCCAUCAUAGAUGAUACCUUUCAGUGCUUAGGUUGGUUAAUUAAGUUACUACAUCCAAGUCAUGUGUUGCUCAGGAAUGAUCAAAUGUCUACUUGAAACGAGGAUAAGAAUAUCAAGUGCUUGUAUUGAGCACAAGUUUUCAAUUUAAUUGUUGACUGAUAACUUUCAUAAUUAAUUUUAAGUCCAUAAUUUUAACAUGACAUUUAUCCUUAGUUUUACAAUUCAACUUUCAAGUGUACGUCCUGGGUGAAACAGAGCAGGCAUUGGCCUUCGCCUUUCUUUGUGUAGAGUUUAAUUAAACUAAAUUAUUUAAGUUCAUUAAAACUUACUUUCCUCAUUGUUAAGAGUAUAAGCUGAAGCUGCUGAGCUGGUUGGUGAUGCGAUGAAGCUGCUGAGUUGACUGAUGUUGUGUAACUAAGUUGCUGAGCUGGAUUGGGUUAUUAUUUGCACUGAAUAAGUUGUAACGAAUUGUCCAGCUGGCUUGUUAUGUUUGGAAAGCUUAUUAGUUUGUUAAUAUUGCAGCUUUAAGCUCUAUUUUUGUAAUCAAUUUAAGUGUAACUAUAAAUAGUGACUAGUACACUCAUAAUGUAUUUUUUCAACUUUAAUCAAUAAGAAUAUGUGAUUGUUCUAGAAUCUUCAUAGUCAAAUUUUCUUUCUUAAUUUUCUUUCAUUUUCUCUCAUGCCAAACACUUAUUGAUUCAACUAUGGUAUCAGAGCUAUCACCUAUGUCAGGAUCUAAUCAUAUAGCCUCCUCCUCACUCUCAUUCAACUUUGUUCAACCUGUAAAGCUCUACAGAUCAAACUACAUGGUGUGGAAAACUCAAGUUAGAACAUCAAUCAUUGCUAGUGGACUUGAAGGCCUCAUCAAUGGUAAGAGUGUGUGUCCAAAACAUUAUUUUAUCAAGAACUUAGAAGAUCUGGAGCUGAAGCAUCAUAGAAACAAGAAAAUCUAGACUAUGUCUUAUGGAUGAAAAGUGAUAAACUUCUGCAGAGCUGGAUGCUUUCAUCAAUGGUGGAUAACGUAUUAAUCAUGGUGAUCAACUGUGAAACAUCACUUGAGCUUUGGGAGAUGCUUGUUGAAAUCUUCAUGUCUCAAUCCAAAGCGAGGUAUCUACCUUUAAAUAUGCAAAUCCAAUCAACAAAGAAAGGAUCACUCUUAGUAAGUGAUUAUUUCAAUAAGAUGAAGAAAAUUGUUGAUAGUCUGGCCAUUAGAGGUAAUCCAUUUACUUCAAAUGAAUUGAUUACGCACUUGCUUACUGGAUUAGAUGAUAAUUAUGAAUCUUUAGUCAUAAAUAUACUUACUAGACUGGAAAAAAAGAAACUCACUGUUGAUGAGGUGUAUUCUAUGAUGCUUAGUCAUGAAACUAGGUUGUAAAUGAGCAAAUGAGAGUCUCAGAAUGAACCUCUGCAUGAUAUGACAACAAAUUUUGCUUAGAAAGGUCAAGGUUAUAAUAGAUCUGGAUAUAAUCAGAAAAAUGCAGGUGUUGGAAAUUCUGGGGUUUAUGAUAGCAAUCAGAACAUCAGUAAUGGUGUGAUUGGUCCUGGAAAAGAUGUUGUGUGUCAAAUUUGUUUUAUUCCAGGCCAUAGAGCUUAUAAGUGUAAAUACAGAUUCAAUCAAGGUUUUAUUCCUAGAAACAGAGGUUUUGGUGCAUUUAGGCCAAGAGGUGGAGGUCAGAAUUAUAGAUGAUUUGCUGGAAAUAAUCAGAAUUAUUUUCGUAGAGCAUCUGGAUACAAUGGUUCUGGUUUUGGACCUGGAUUCAGACCUAAUUUUCCUAGACAAGCUGGACCUUUCUUUGGCUACGUUGCCUAUCAAAAUCCAGAAGUCAUGAAUCCUCAAUGUGUUUUUGAUUUACAAGGUGCAAGUGGUACCUAUAAUGGUGUUCCAACAGCAAACCUGUAUGUUGGAAAUUUUGGUAUUCCUCAUAAUGUUCCUCCCUCUGCACAAUUGGCAAACUAUAACAAUGUAGCUGAUCUAGCCUGAUAUCUUGACUCUGGAGCAACUAAUCACAUUGCUCAAGAUGCAAGUAUACUUUCUAAAUAUUCAACUUACCAUGGCAUUGAAAAACUACAUAUAGGAAAUGGUAUGGGAUUACCUAUUCAUAAUGUUGGAUGUGUUGCUGUUAAAACCUUAUCUACAACACCUAUCUACCUGAAUCAUGUUUUGCAUGUCCCUACAAUCACUAAAAAUCUUAUCAGUGUUUCCAAAUUGCUUGCUGAUAAUAAUGUUUUCAUUGAAUUUCACAACCAUGUUUGUUUUGUUAAGGACAAGAACUCAAGGAUCACAUUGCUCAAGGGGAUUGCUAGAGGAGGUCUUUAUCAAGUUCCAAGCUUAAAUACAGUAUGUGAUAAUUCAAGUUCUGUUAUUCGAGUGUUUAACUCAUCUGAGUCUGUUUUUAAUUCAAUAAGUACAUUGUCAGCAGCUCCAGUAUCCAUGUUUACUCAAUUGAGUUCCUUUGAUAUUAUGUCUCAUCCUCAUAUGCUUGUAAAUAAUCCUCAAAUAUAUAAGAAUGUCUAUGUGGCUCAUUUUGCUUCAUAUAAUAAGACUGUUGAUUAUAGUUUACUGUACAAAAGAAUGGGUCAUCUAACUACUCAUGCUUUAAAACAGAUCAUGAAGUGCUUGGAUUCAACUUUUAUCCUUCCCAAAAACCCAAAAUCAUAGUUUUGUGAUGCUUGUCAACUAGGCAAGUGUCAUAUGCAACAUUUUUUUUCAGUAGAAACUUCAACCACUCAACCCCUUGAAUUGCUACAUGCUGAUCUUUGGGGACCAGCUCCUAUCACCUCUUCUCAAGGAUACUCAUACUAUCUAUCCAUCUUAGAUGAUUACACCCGAUACACUUGGAUAUUUCCUCUCAUUGCAAAAUCCAAAACCUUGUCAGCCUUUAUUGACUUCAAAAACAUGAUUGAAAACUGUCUGAACAUGAGAAUUAAAUGCUUACAAUCUGAUUGGGGUGGUGAAUUCAGGACUUUUGUGUCAUAUCUCUCUGAAAAGGCAUACAAUUUAGACAUUCAUGCUCUUAUAUCCAUCACUAAAAUGGUAGAAUAGAGAGAAAACACAGACAUAUUGUUAAAACAGGUCUUACACUUCUUGCCCAAGCUCACUUGCCACUCAAAUUCUGGUGGAAUGCAUUUCAUACAACCGCAUAUCUUAUCAAUAGACUUCCCACACCUAUUCUCAACAAUAAAUCACCAUUUGAGAAACUCUUUUAUAAACCACCAGAUUAUACAUUAAUGAAAGUAUUUGGCUGCUCCUGCUACCCCUAUCUCAGACCUUAUAAUCAUCAUAAACUCCAGUUCAAGAGUACAAGAUGUGACUUUUGUGUCAUAUCUCUCUGAAAAGGCAUACAAUUUAGACAUCCACGCCCUUAUAUCCAUCACCAAAAUGGUAGAAUAGAGAGAAAACACAUACAUAUUGUUAAAACAGGUCUUACACUUCUUGCCCAAGCUCACUUGCCACUCAAAUUCUGGUGGAAUGCAUUUCAUACAACCACAUAUCUUAUCAAUAGACUUCCCAUACCUAUUCUCAACAAUAAAUCACCAUUUGAGAAAAUCUUUUAUAAACCACCAGAUUAUACAUUAAUGAAAGUCUUUGGCUGCUCCUGCUACCCCUAUCUCAGACCUUAUAAUCAUCAUAAACUCCAGUUUAGGAGUGCAAGAUGUGUCUUUCUUGGCUAUAGCUCACUUCACAAAGGCUAUCAAUGUCUUCAUCCCUCUGGAAGGGUUUACAUAAGUAAUCAUGUCAUUUUUUAUGAGUCAUCUUUUCCCUUCAAGUUAGGUGACAAUUUUUCUAAAAAGUCAAGUUCUGAUUCUUUAGAAAAGUCUACUUCUUCAAAUUCUUUUAUCUUAUUUACUUUAUCACAGAUUGCAGCACAACUUGAUAGACAUUUCUCUCAACCUUCACCUUCAGCAAUUAAUUUGCCCUCCAAUUCAUACUUAUCUAGCUCAGAAGAUCACUUCAUAUCUCAUACUCCUAGUCCCAUAAAUCAACAAUCAUCUCCCCAACCUAUUCAUCAACUAUCUCCACAUUCUCAACCUAUUGUUGGACAUUCUAUGAUUACCCGGUCCAAAAUGGGGAUAUUCAAACCAAAAAAGGUCUAUCUAGUCAAAUGUGAUUUUAAAUCAACAGAACCACUUACAGUUUCAGUUGCUCUAAACGAUCUAAAGUGGCUUCAGGCAAUGAGAGAAGAAUAUUAAUCCUUACUUAAUAGUCAAACUUAGACACUUGUUCAACCUACAUAUCUUGUCAAAGUUGUAGGUAACAAGUGGGUAUUCAUAAUUAAAUACAAUGCAGAUGGUAGUGUUUCAAGAUACAAAGCCAGACUUGUAGCAAAUGGUUUUCAUCAAACUCAAGACAUUGAUUACAAUGAAACCUUUAGUCCAGUGGUGAAGGCUUCUACAGUUAAACUUAUUCUGAGCUUGGCUGUUCUUAAUCACUGGUCACUGAGACAAGUUGACAUUAACGAUGCUUUUCUCAAUGGCUAUUUUACUAAGGAAGUGUAUAUGCAGCAACCCGAAGGCUUUUUGGAUUAGUCCAAACCUACACACAUUUGUAAACUUCAAAAGGCAUUGUAUGGUCUCAAACAAGCUCCUAUAGCUUGGUUUGAUAGAUUAAACAAUGGGGCUUCAAGAAUUCAAAGUCUGAUACUUUUUUGUUUUUUCAUAGGAUUCAAGGUCAUCUCUUGCUGGUAUUAGUUUAUGUGGAUGAUAUUAUUGUGACAGGUUCAGAUUUUACUCAGAUUCAGCAAGUUAUUAACAAUUUGUAUACUACAUUUGCUCUAAAAGACCUUGGAGAACUACAUUAUUUUCUUAGUAUUCAAGUCACAAAAACUAACACAGGCUUGAAUCUCUCUCAGUCAAAGUAUAUAGUUGAUCUACUCAACAAAGUCAAGAUGCAAGUUUGUACUCCUUGCUCAACACCAAUGGCUGCAAAUUUCCACUUACCAAAACUGACAGUGAACUAUUUGCUGAUGCAACUUUGUACAGAAGCACAAUUGGAGCUCUUCAGUAUGCUACCUUGACCAGACCUGAGAUAGUAUUUCUAGUUAAUAAACUUAGCCAAUUUCUAGCUGCUCCAACCGUUAAUCUUAAGGGUACAAUGCAUAUGGGGUUACAAUAUUCUAAUCAAGGUCCCUUGCACAUAGAUUGUUUCAGUAAUGCAGACUGGGCAGCUAACAGGGAUGACAAAAAAUAUGUGUUUACUUUGGUCCUAAUAUGAUUUCUUGGUGUUCAAAGAAACAAUGAGUGGUGUCCAGGUCUAGCACUGAAUCAAAAUAUCGAGCCUUAGCAAUGGUUGCAUCUGAAGUUUUGUGGCUAGAGUCCUUGUUGACUGAAAUUGGCAUUUCUCUUGUCUCUGUUCCUGUCAUUUAGUGUGAUAACCAAAGUGCAGUUGCCUUAGCAAGUAAUCCUAAAUUCCACUCCCGAACUAAACACAUAGAACUUGAUGUUCAUUUCUUGCGAGAGAAGGUUGCUAAUAAAAGCUUCCAAGUUAAUGAUGUUCCCAGUUCUCAUAACUCAACUGAUAUCCUUACUAAAGCUUUAGCUUAUCACCCUUUUCAUUAUCUGAGAGACAAGCUCACCUUGACUUCACUAGGCUGAGCUUGAAGGGGGAUGUUAAGAGUAUAAGCUGAAGCUGCUGAGCUGGCUGGUGACGUGCUGAAGCUGCUGAGUUGACUGAUGUUGUGUAACUAAGUUGUUGAGCUGGAUUGGGUUGUUAUUUGCACUAAAUAAGUUGUAACGAAUUGUCCAGCUGGCUUGUUAUGAUUGGAAAGCUAAUUAGUUUGUUAAUAUUGUAGCUUUGAGCUCUGUUUUUGUAAUCAGUUUAAGUGUAACUAUAAAUAGUGACUAGUACGCUCAUAAUGUAUUUUUUCAGCUUUAAUCAAUAAGAAUCUGUGAUUGUUCCAAAAUCUUCAUAGUCAAAUUUUCUUUCUUAAUUUUCUUUCACUUUCUCUCGUGCCAAACACCUUAUUGAUUCAAAUACUCAUUAGAUGACUUGUGGAUUUACUAAUAUAGUUCCCUUCCCUGUUUCAAGUAGUGCAUUGAUGUACAUGUCUGCAUAGGCAUUGUUGUCUUUAAUGUUAAUGUACUAAUUGAAGGCUCUUUAAAUGAUUAUUUAAGUUUGAAAGGAAUUUAGAUCUAUCGAAAAUAGAUGUAGGCAAUUAAAAACUAAAAAAAUUAAUUACUUCAUUAAUUUUUUCGGAAGUACUGUGCACCGUUACUGUUCACCGUUACUGUUCACGUUUACUGUUUAUGGUUAGUGUUCAUCCGCAUAAAAAAAUAUUAAUUUUCAAAAACACAAUAAAAUGCAGAAAAUAAAUGACACGAAGAUUUUUACGUGGUUCAGAUUAAUCAAUUCUACAUCCACGAGGCCACGCCCAGAUGAAAAGCAAUUUACUAAGUUGAGAUGUUACAACCUAUAGAUUUACCAAACUUAAGACUCUCACUUACAGUUUAUCAUCAUACAGUUUACUCAACCUUAGAAUGAAUCUGUUUCUCUUAAAUAAUUGCUAUCCCUCUUGAUCCAUGAUCUUCAAGGCACUUCGCAAAGUGAUCAAUAUAAAUUCUUCAAUUCUUCAAUGUCUAGUGAUCCAAGAUCCACAUAAACUCUCCACAGAGAUGAAAAUAAGAUAAGAAAACAAAUCAACACAACAUUAUAUGCUAAAUCCGGAUUCUGUAGGGAGGAGGCCGAAUUUUGCUUCUCUGUUUUAUGCUCUGUGUUGUGUGAUCAAAUUUCAAUUGUGAAAUAUCUCUCUUUAUAUAGGCAUUAGAGUUUCACCAAAAUAGCAAGUCUUAAAAGACUUGAAUUAUUUUCAAAUAAGAGUUUCUUUCCUCUUAUAAUUCCUAUGAAUCUGAAUAGGAAUAAAUAUGAUCUUCUUGCCUUGGUUGUCUUCUAAGAAAUAUCUAGAGCAUUUAAUGACUUCCUGUUUGAACCAAUUUCUUGCUCUAAAUAAAUCUCAUGUGUCAAUUAAAGAAUCCCACCAUUAAUUGACUUGCUAAAAUAGACAUCUAAUUAAAUUAGGAAACAAAUAUUCCUAAUAAAUUGGAAUCUCACUAAGUUGGGGAAUUAAUAAAUUAAUCCAUAUUACAAGAUAUGCAAUAAAUAAACUUCCAAUUUAACUAGACUUGUCAUAAAAUGCCAACUCUAUAAAUAAUGGACUUAACAAAGUUCUCUAGUUUUUCGGGAAGUAGAUAUUAUUUUGCUCAGUCAUAUUGCUUUGUGGUUUUUGGCAGAAAUAAUUUUCUGAAUUACUGAUGAAAGCUGCAAGUGAUUAUGGAGCCUUGACAGAAUCAGUUGCAGAUUUCCUGUGGAGCCAGAGGUUUGAGGAGUCUCCAUCAGUUUGGGGGGUAUGCGAGCUUCUGUUUGUUUUUAUCAACUUCAGAGUGUAAUAUUGAUCAUCAUUCUGUAUACACCAACACAUUUCUUGUUUUGUUAAGUUUUAUGUAUAUUUUCAUUCCAUUCUUAUGUCUAAGCCAUGUUCCUUAAAUAUAAAUCUUUGUGAGAAGUGUUAUUUUCAAGGGAGAUAGUUGACAUAAAUAGGUCAAAUGUUACAUUCUUAUUUUUAUUUUCCUUUUAAGUUUUUGGUCAGUUUACUGCUAAUGCAUUCUGUUGUCAAGGUUCAGAAGACCGUUGUGCUUUAUUAUUGAAAUUAUUCUCUUGUAAAUGAUUUGGCUAAAAUGAUAGUCUAGUAUAAAGGAUUAAGUUUUCUGGAAAGGAACUUCAUUUAUAUUCCUCGAAGUAGGUAAGCUUUUUCCCAGAUCAUUAAUUAGUUAAGUUUACCUUCUUGAUGCAGGAGAUGCUUCGUCCAAUUCCUGUUGCUCUAGCAUAAUGCACCCGAUUCUUUGAAGCAAUGUCUUCCACGAGAGAAUCAUUUGCAACCCUUCAACAUGGGAGGGUUGGUAAUUCUGCCUUUUCAUUGCCAAUAAUACUAGCUGAUAGUUCUGAUUGAAUCACCUCACCUACGUGGAGAAACGAAUCAAGGUUUGAUGACUUGGUUAUCAAAAGUCUAAGAAGACAAGAACUAGAGCGGCAAGAAACAAAAGAUUGCAAAUGGUGUAGUGAGUGAUAUCAAUCAGUUUGAUGGCAUAAGUAAUAGGAGAUUUUCUUGGCCUCUUCGAGUAAAAAGAGUGGUACUCAAGUCACACUAUUGAGUGGCGCACAUAUACUUUCAAAUGGCUUCCUAAUAUUAGUGUUGUUCCGAAUUAAAGUCCAGUCCAUCCGAUCCGUAAAAAUUCAAUUCAUGGAUUGAAUUGAAAAUUUUAAAAUCAGUAAUUAGUGGAUUGUAUAUGGAUUUAUAGAAGCAAAAUCUGGAAAUUCACCAAAAAAAAUAAAUAUAAUAUUAAUUUAAUUUAAACAAAAAAAUUUAAAAGUGUAACUAUGGCAUUAUUAACAAAUAAAUAAGUUAAAAUGUAAUUACACUAAAAAUAAUAUUAUAUUUUAUCUAAAAAUAAUAAAAAAUAAUUAAAUAAAUAAAUAUAGGUGCUAAGUUUCAAGUUUUGUAUUGAUUUAAUUCCAUAAUUUUAAUUAAUUUUCAUUAUAUUGAUUUAAACAAGUUAAACUUUUUCUUUUUGGCAUGUUAUAAUUUGAAAGUAUGAAUGCAUUAUUUUAGUUUUAUUUAAAUGAUAGUUUAUUUACAUUUUAUUUAUUUUUGAAUUUAAUCAGUAAUCAACACAUCCUAAGACUAGUUAUUUAAAACAAUAGUGAUAAGUACGCAAAAUGUUAUAUAAAAAAUAGGACGCAUCACGAACCGAUAAAAAGAAUUCACUACAAUAUAAGAACUUUUGUCUUUUGUUCAUUUUACAUUAAAUCUUGUGAUUUUUUUUUUCCAUUUCUACAUGUAGCAUUAUCCUGUUAACAAAAAAAGGAAAAAAAAAAAAAAAACAAGGAGUGAGUGUGCACAUUGAGAUUGGAUAAGCCCACGAUACAAGACUAGCUAGAGAAGUAGCUUCAUUUAAAGCCUAAGCAUUGUUAAUUGGAACAAUAGAGAAUAAUGAAAGCAAAGCAAAUAGUAGAAAUUCAUAAACAAGAAGCACAAGUUCAACACAGUGGUAAAUCCAGCACCACAUUUUUCUUAGCCUAAUUCAACAUGGUGGGAAGAAUAGUGUCUGUUCAUAUAAUCAUCUUGUGUUCAUGUCGUAUUAUAAUCGUAUUGUGUUAAAUUUAAGAAAUACGAAUACAAUAUGUUUAAUAAUCGUGUCAAAAAAUUUAAAUACAGACACAAUCCACUUAAUAAACACGUGAUACAAUACAUUUGACACAAUACCAUUUGACAUGACUACACAAUCUAUGACAUGGCUAUGUUAACAUAAUUAAGACACAAUUAUAAGAUAGAGGUAUGAUUAUACAAAUAACAAUCCAAUUACCAAUAGGAAUACUAUACUCAACUUUUAAAAAUAAAAUAUGCAUGAUUAAAAAAUAAUAAAGAACAUACAAACUUAAACAAAUCCAAGAUAUUAAAAUUUAAUAUGAAUUUAAAUCAUUACAAAAAAAAAUUAAUAACUAAUAACUCUCCAAAAUAUAAAACUUGAUAAAUUGACAAAUUAAUAUUCGUGUCAUAAACAUGUAACCAUGUUGAAAUAGCCCAACAUGAAUAUGACAUGGUUAUUUGAUAAUGCCGUGUUGUGUCAAUUUAUUUAGUAAUCAUGUUAAUAUUUAUCAACAUAAAUACAAGAAAAUCGUGACCUAACCCAUGCUGUCACCUCUACUUUUAACACCCAACAAACCAAAAUCAGGGAGGCACCUACAAAUUCCUGAUGAGAUACCACCAUUUUGAAAAAUUCAUAAGUUGUGUCAAAGCAUCAUUCUGAAAAGACAUAAUUCAUUUUUUUAGGUUUUACAACAGUGCCCACCUGAGUUUUGAAAUUCGAAAAUACCCCAGCUAAUUUUGAAAAGUAUCAACUUGAUCCUUGUCUAUAAACUCAAUUCAUUAGAAUCUGGUAAGUUAUUUUGAUUACACGAGUAUGAACUAUCCGCCUCCGAUAACUAACUCGUCAUAGAAGUAAAAUAAUUAAAAAAUGCUUCUUUUUGCAUUUUAGUGCCUCAAAAAUAAACAAUUAAAAAAAUAAGCAUAUUCUAGAAUUAGAUCUUCUAAUUUCAUCAUCUUAGAAAAGUAACAAGUAAUAAAAACUAAGUCUAUAUACGUUGCCUAAUAAAAAAACGUUAAGUGUAUGCACCAUCUAAAGCGUGCAUUGACCAUAAAAUUCUAAUACAUUAUUUUCAAAACAUAAAAACCAUCCAGAAAUAUGAAGAAUAUCGUUAAUAUUAGAGUGAUCGUGUUAUAUAACUAUUGUUAUGCGAAUAUUCUAAAUUGUAACAUAUUUUGAACGUGCUCCUGGCUAUGUCUUUGCAGCCUAAUUAGCCUAAACUGGUCAUGUGAUGAAUGGUCUCAGCAAGAGGUGGAGCUAUAAACUAUUUAGGGUGUGUUUGGAAUUGAAAUUAGGUAGUUGUGGUGUAAAAGCUGCAGUACCAAAAUAUUUGGUGAACACUAGCUGCUGUAAUUUGAAAGAUAUGUUCAUAUGAUUUUUUAUUUAUACGAUGAAAAAUUUACUAUAUUUUUAAUAAUUUUGUCAAAAUUAUUAUUUAAAAUUUAUAUUUAUUACAUAUUAUUAGCUUUAUUUUAUAAUUACAAAUUUUUUUAAAGUUACAACACCUCAAUCUCAAACAAGACCUUAUCCUAGUUGUGUGAAACCAAUCUAAACAUACCAGAUAUUGUAUGGAGAUGAAGUUACUGAUGAGGAAAGAAAGGCGGUUGAAGUUUUACAAAUUACAAGCCAUUUUCGUAUUAAAUUACAUGUACACGGGCAUGACCAUCAUCUCCUCUUGGGGCUCCUCUUCUAACAUUCAUCAAUGUAGGGCACCCGAAUUUAAUUUGAGGAAUGUAAGAGAUAUAUGUGGAGAGUGACACUUUAGUCAAUGACUAGUUUUCAAUGCCUCAUUGCAUCUCUUAAGUUCAAACAAAAUGAACACACUGUUUAAUGAUAGAUAUAACCUUUUAACAGAUAAAUUAAACUAGUUUUAAUUUGCAUAGGUCUUGGACAAUCAGCUUGUAUGUAAACGUUUUUUCUGUUUCUCGUUGAACAUGUGCAAGGGAUGAAAUAAUUAAUAAAAAUCUAAGAGGGACCAAAGUGGUAAAAUAAAGUUGCAACAAUAUUUUUUCUACUAAAGACAUCUUUAUUUUAGUGAGCUAAGUGACUAAAGUAACAACAUCCUGACUACAGAAUUAUUUGAGAAUAGAUAUUUAUAUAAAGUGCACGAAAAUAAAUGAAACCAACGGAGAAAAUUAAGAAAAUGGCAGAAGCAAAGAAACAGAAGCAUUUUGUUCUGGUGCAUGGAUCAAACCAUGGAGCCUGGUGCUGGUACAAGGUGAAGCCACAGCUGGAGGCAGCGGGUCACCGGGUGACGGCGCUGGACCUUACAGCCUCUGGCAUCGACAUGAAGAAAAUCCAGGAUGUUCAUUCAUUUUACGAAUACAAUGAACCUCUGUUGGAGAUUUUGGCCUCACUUUCGGCAGACGAAAAGGUCGUAAUUGUUGGACACAGCCUUGGAGGCUUGAGUUUGGCCCUGGCAGCUGACAAGUUCCCGCACAAAAUUUCAGUUGCUAUUUUCUUAACAGCAUUCAUGCCAGACACCAAACACCAACCAUCUUAUGUUGUGGAGCGGGUAUUUGAAUAAUUUAUUUCAUUAUUUGUUUAUUUAUUUGGAUGAAGUUAUCAAUGAUUCACCCAUUAUUUCCUCCAAUUCUAAAAAGAAAAUACCAAAACCUUUAAAUUUGUUGUCCACCAAAGUUUAGAAAUUGUAUCACUUUCCCCACCUUCUAUUAACAUUGUUAGAGAAUCUUAGUAAACUGACUAUUUUAUUCUUGAAGUAUAGUUUAACAAAAGGAUAUAAAAUUGAUACUUUUUACCGGCGUUAGUAUGUUAGUUGUUUAAAUUAUCCUUAUGAUAUCAUCAUAAGUUAAUUUCUCUUAAUGCUAAAGUCACUUCUAAUGGGUCCAUUAAGCACAUUAAGAAUUUUUGAAUUUUUUAUAAAUAGAAAAAAAAUAGGUGAUCAAUUGAUAAUUUUACCCUUUAUGUAUUACUAUCGAAUUAAUUUAUAACUCGUUUCCUAAGUUAGAGAGCUUACAAUUUUAUUUUAUUUGUAACUUUUUGUUUGUGCUGAAAAGUUUUUUGAAAGGAUUCCAAGUGGGGAAUGGUUGGACACUCAAUUUUCAGUGAUUGACUCAUCAAAUCCUUCUCGCAAGACAUUAUUUUUCGGUUACAGCUUCUUGACUCUCAAGCUGUAUCAGCUUAGUCCUCCUGAGGUAUAAGCCUUAUUAAUAAUAAUAAUAAUAAUAAUAAUAAUAAUAAUAAUAAUAAUAAUAAUAAUAAUAAUAAUAAUAAUAUUAUUAUUAUUAUUAUUAUUAUUAUUAUUAUUAUUAUUAUUAUUAUUAUUAUUGAGAUUUUAGAUACAUAAAUUGUAAUAUAGAUAAGACAAUUAAUGAAUAUUAAUCGAGAAAUUUAUUCCCACUAAUAUUUAGGGAGAGAUUUACAUCGAAUCCACGUUUUUUUUUAAAUAGGGAUUGAAUCAUUGAAUUGAGCCCCGUAUGGAGCUCAAUCUAAAUCCCUCAUCAGGCUAAUUUACUGCAUCUAGGGAUGGCAAUUUUUCCCGAUAGGAUGAGAUCCUGCGGGAUCACAUCCCAUUUGGGACGGGAUUAGGACAUAUUUUUGUCCCAUAAAAAAAUUAGGGACGGGAGUGAGACAUUUUUUUAUCCCAAUUACAUAUGCGGGACGGGAGUGGGAUUGACAAAUUCCGUCCCAUCCCGUCUCAUUACCGAUUAAGAAUGGAAAAUUUUUCAAUUGGAAUGGGAUCCCGCAGGAUCCCAUCUCUUUUGGGACGGGAUCCCGCAGGAUCCCAUCUCUUUUGGGACGGGAUUGGGAUAUAUUUUUGUCUCAAAAAAAAUAUAGGGAUGGGACUGAGAUAUUUUUUCAUCCCAUUUGCAUAUACGGGAUGGGAUUAGGAUUGGUAAAUCCCAUCUCAUCCCGUCACAUUGCCAACCCUAGUCUGCAUCAUAGUUCAAUUAUUAAAUCUUGAUCAAACAUUGUAUAAGGUAAUAUUAUAUUUGUUUAUUUUGAUUAAAAGGACGUGGAGCUGGGAAAGAUGUUAUUGAGGCCUGGAUCAGUAUUUGUUGAUGAAUUAUCCAAGGCAAAUAAGUUCAGCAAUGAAGGAUAUGGAUCCGUAAACCGAGUCUAUGUGGUAUGCGAGGAGGAUCUUUGUGUUCCUAAGGAAUUUCAGCAUUGGGUGAUCCAAAACAAUCCUGUUGAUGAGGUGAUAGAGAUAAAGGGUGUAGAUCAUAUGCCGAUGCUUUCCAAGCCCGAACAACUUUUUGACUGUCUCUCUCACAUUGCUCAUAAGUAUGCUUAAUUUAUUACUAAACAAUAAUGAUACGCCCACAACAGUUUGUAAUUGAAUUAGCAACUUACGUGGCAUAAACAUGACAAGCAUUGCCAUGCUUUUUUAUUUACAAUAAAGAUAUUAUUGAGAAAAUAUGCUCUUUAAAAGCAUAUGUGUUUAUUUAAUUGUAAUAAAUAAUUUUUCUAAUUAAUAAAAUAAAUAUGGUAUUUUAUUUAAGUAUCUUAAUUGCAUUAAUAUUUUGAGUAAAGUCCAUUUAAUCAUAUUAUAUGUAUUUAUGUGAUUACUAUGUGGAUUCACAGAAGACAUAAAUACAAGUUAUCUUAUGAUUAAUUAAAUUAAAUUCGCAGUUGAUAAAUAAAGUUGGACACUUUAUUUAGGUAUAGACUGUAAUAAAUUUAUUAAAUGAUUUGUCUUAAUAAUGUAUGAAUUUAUUGAUGUAGUACGACUACAUUGAACAUAUCACAUAUAAUAUUUAAUUAACUUUGUAAUAACUGUCAGACUUAUUAAAUCUCAUAGGCAUUUAACUUUGUAAUAACUGUCAGACUUAUUAAAUCUCAUAGGCAUUGAUUUUACUGUAAUCUUAAUCUUGAGUUAGUUAUGAUUUCAUGAUUGUAAUUGUUAUUCCAUUUGAGUUACCAAUGGGCACGACACACACUUACAAUCAAGAUUAUCCAGUAUAUUGGUGGGAGCAAUUAUAAGUAUUGAAAUUAUAGAUUAACAUUAUAGAAUUUGUACAACACAUUUCUUGAUGGGUUUUCGGCACUUAAUUAUAGAAUUCUCUAACCAGAGUGUGUCAACAUAUUUAGUAUGUUGAAAAUGAUCAUUAGAGAAAACCAGUAAGUAUCAAGGAACAAAAUGUAAUUAAAUUGAUUGGACAGUUAAUAUAUCGAUUUAAUUAAUAAUGUGGUACAAAUGAUUAUGCAGCAAAGAAAUUAAUGUGGCGUGGGUCGAAUUAUUAUUUGAAAACACUAUCCUGGAUAGCAUACAAUUAUGAAGGUCAAUUCCAAUCUUUUAGUGGAGUAGAUUUAGAAUUAAAUAAUUGAGCUAGUUUAAUUACAUGCCUAAUUAUUGUAGCCACUAUUGUAUGUACCCAUAUGAUCCCCAGGUUAACUCAUUUAAUUGACUGUACCGUUACUGUAUUAAUAAAUAAGAUUACUAGUUAUUUUGGUUAAAAAUCUAAAUAUAUUAUUUAGUGGGAGACUCCAUUUAAUAUGCUUGUAUGUAAGGGGUCUUGUGCUAAUUUACACGGUGGACUCCUAUAACAUAAGAACAAGUAACGCCACUUUUGGUUUUAUUAUUUUUUAAUUUAAAUCAAAUAUGAUUUAAUAGAAUUAAAAAAUUAAUAAAUAUGAAGUCUAUGGUUUCCACCAAAUAGAGAUAUAAAAUAGCUUAUUUUCUCUAAAAGAAAGGAGGAGCCAUAAUAUACAGAUCAGAGAAAAAGAAUAUUUUCUCUUUAAUUUUGAUAAGAAUAUUUUUCUCUUACUAGUUGUUUUUAGUGGUAAUAAAAGACAUCCACACGUUAAGUGCAUAUCAAACUUGAGUCACAACCUAAAAGAUCAUUAGUGACGAAUUGUAAUCUAACAAGAUUGGUGGUUACAUAUCGAUGCUGCCUCUUCAGAAAAAAUGUUCAGAAAGUUUACAGUCGUUAAUUAAUACAUUUUGAGACUCUAAAUUAAAUAGACCCGUGAAGUUGCCUGAGUUGUUUAGCCACUUGAGCCACUGUUGGCCUAUCUUGCUCGGAUUUAGAAAGACAUUUAAUGGCAAGCUCUGUGGCUAAGCAAUUGUUUCUCCUUUUCAGGCCAUAACCCUUCUUCUCCAACAAUUAUAGGAUCUACAAUCUCUUCUCAACAAUUGCUUUCAAUACUUUUCUUCAAGAGUUCCUGCAAAAAGUAUUCCACACCAUUUUCAAAACAGGAAGAAUAACUCAUCCUUUUUUUCCAGUCAGAAGCUCAAGAAGCAAUGCGCCGAAGCUGUAAACAUCACUCUUCUCAUUGCAAUUACCAGUAGUAAUGCACUCCGGUGCAAUAAAUCCAAAGGUUCCGAUCAGCUUAUCAUUAUCAUUUACGUGAGUCUUACCUUCUGGGAUAGAUAUAGAUACAGAAAAAUUGAAAAAUUUAGCAACUGGAACAAGACAGUAGACGGUUUAAUGUCGCGAAAGACAAUUGGCCUGGAGAAUCCAACAUGGAGAUAUGCAACUGCAUUAGCUAUCUCCAUGGCAACCUUUAGCCUAUGCUUCAUGAGAAAAGGCUCCAAUUGGGAUCCAUUAGGAUCAUGAAUUCGAUCAGCAAGUGUCCCACAUGCCACGAAUUCAAAAACUAGAAUUGGAACUUCAGUUUCUAAACAGCAUCCUGCAAACUUCAAAAUGUUUUUGUGACUCAUUUGGGAUGCGAAUGCAAUACAAUUAAAGCAAUAAUAUUCUUCUGUGUUCAAAUUGUCUCCAAACUCAGAGAUUGGAUGAUCCUGCAAGAAACCCUUUUACAAUUAGUACAGCAAACCUCUUGUUAUUACUUUCCCAGGAUCAUAAUUGUUCGUAGCUCCCUCGAGCUCCAAGGCAAUGAAGUUUCGGAUGGGAUAGUAUUUACCAUUGCAAGAGGCAAUCAACUUUUGUAGUAAAAACUUUCCAUUCUUUGGCAUAAAUUUUCUCUUCUUUGCCUUCUCCAAAGAGUUGCUUGUUCUCAAGGACAAACUCAUGUAACCUACACAGAAUCCUGUGAUAUGGAAAUGGAAAACAUUAUGAAUAUUACAAUGAAAAAGAAAUAAUAAAUAAAUUGAUGUUGAUUUACAGGGAAAAUUUUGCUUUGAAUCAAGAUCACUUCUACAAAGUACAUGCUAAGGAAAGAAGAACUCUCCAGGACAUUUCUUUUAGUUGACUUGAAAGGAAAACAAAAAACAAAACAUCAAUUAUUGGGUAAACUCAAUCAAUUUUUUAUUUUUUAUUCCAUAUGGUUGCAUAUCUAAAAGAAACAAUCAAUCCCGACGAUCAUGCUUAUUCUAAGUUUUCGGAAAACAAAAUAAUUCUUUAGCUAGCAACAGUUCAGAUGAUAAGGUUGGAAAGAGCAGAUAAUACCAGACUUGAGAGAGAGGAGCUCUGCAAUAAUUGAUGUAAUUUUCUUGUAAAUGAGUUCGCUAAAAUGACAGUCCAGUAUAAAGGUUAAGUUUUCUGGAAAGGAACAUCAUUUGUCUUCCUUGAAGUAGGUGAGCUUUUUCCCAAAUCAUUAAUUAGUUAAAUUUAUGUUCUUGAUGCAGGAGAUGCUUCGCCCAAUUCCUUUUGCUCUAGCAUCAUGCACCCGAUUCUUUGAAGCCAUGUCUUCCACGAGAGAAUGAUCAUUUGCAACCCUUCAACAUCUGAGGGUUGGUAAUUCUGCCUCGUCAUUGCCAAUAACACCAGCUAACGAUUCUGAUUGUAUUACCCCAACUCCUUGGAGAAACGAAUCGAGCUUUUAUGAGUUGGUUAUCAGAAGUCUAAGAAGACAACAACUAGAGCGGCAAAAAGCAGAUCUGGAUGCAAAUAGUGAAGUGAGUGACCUCAAUUAGUUUGAUGGCACAAGUAAUAGGAGGUAGUCUCGGCCUCUUCAAGCUGAAAACAGCGGUACUUUUUUUUUUUUUAUUAUUAUAUGAGACUAUUGCUCAAAUUACAACUCAUAUUAUAUGAGAUUAUAACUGAUAUUUACAAAUCAGACUAUUACUGAGACUAACUUACAUCAAUGCUAAUGGAGCGCUGCCCAUAUUUUAACCCUCACAAAUAUUCGAGGGAUGUCUACUCCUCACACUUGAGUAAAGGAGAAGACUGCCUUCACUCAAAUUUAAUUGAGGAAGAAAAUAUUCCCACAAUGCAUUUGUGGGGGUUCGAACUGCUGCCCUCCAAGUUGGAGGGCAGCAGCCCUGACAUCGGUACUUAGUCACACUAUUGAGUGGCACACUUGAAGCUUCAGUUAGCGUCCUAAUAGCCUAAUAGUACGGGUGUUUAGAGUUACAAACUUCAUCCAUAAAAAUUCAAUCCAUCGAUCGGAUUGAAUUGAAUUGAAAAUUUUAAAAUCCUUAAUUUGUUAAUUGUAUAUGGAUUUAUAGAAGCAAAAAUUCAAAAAUUAACCCAAAAAAAAUAUUUAUUUAAUUUAAAAAAGUAUAAAUGUGGCAUUAUUGGUAGAUAAAUAAGUUAAAACAUAAUUACACUAAAAUCAUAUUAUAUCUUAUCAAUUAAUAUGAAAAAAUAAUUAAAUAAACAAAUAUAAGUGCUUAGUUUCAAGUUUUGUGUUGAUUUAAUUCCAUAAUUUUAGUUAAUUUUCAUAUAUUGAUUUAAACAAAUCAAAGUUUUCAUUUUUUGAUGUGUUGUAAUUUGAAACUAUGAAUGUAUUAUUUUAUUUUUAUUAAAUGAUAAUUUAUUUAGAUCUUAUUAAAUCUUGAAUUUAAUCGAUAGUAGACAUAUUAUGAGAUUGGCUAUUUAAGAAAUAGUGAUAUGUGCGCAAAAAAUAGUACGAAAAAUAGCACAUCAUCAUUAAACGAUAAAAAAAUUCACCACAAGAUAAGAAUUUUUGUCCUUUGUGAUUUUGUGUUAAAAAUAUAUAUAUAUAUAUAUAUAUAUGUGGUAUUAUUCUAUUGACAAAAAUGAAAAAACAAGUAGUGGGUAUUGACAUUGAAAUUGGAUAAAGCCCAAGAGACAAGAGUGGCUAAAGAAGUAGCUUCCUCUAAAGCCUAGGCAUUGUUAACUGGAACAACAGAGGAUAAUGAAAGCAAAGGAAAUAGCAGAAAAUUCAUAAGUAAGAAGCACAAAUUCAACACGGCAGUAAUCCAACACCACAUUUUUCUUAGCCAAAUUCAACAUGGUAAAAAGAAUAUAUUUUAAUUAUUGGUGGCAGUUCGUGUAAUCAUGUUGCAUUUGUGUCGUACCAUAAUCUUAUCAUGUUAAAUUUAAGAAAUACAAAUCCGACUUUUUUAAUAAUGCUGUCAAAAUAUUUAAAUACGAAUAUGGCCUCCUUAAUAAACAUGUGAUAAGACAUGACACAUUUGACAUAAUACUGUUAGACAUGAUUCCACAAUUAUGACACCAUUACAUUAACGUAAUUAACAUACGAUUAUACGAUGGAGACAUGAUUACACAAUUAACAACCGGAUUAUCAAUGGAAAUCUGGGAGGUACCUACAAAUUCCCAAUGAGACUACACCAUUUUGACAAAUUCCGGAGUUGUUUUAAAGUUUUAGUAGGACUCAUGGGCCAGCUGGCUUUAUGAAAAUUUUAAAAGCAUGAUUGCGAAAGCACAUCGUUUUUUUAUUUUACAAAAGUGCCUAUCUAAAUCUUGAAAUUACGAAAAUAUCCUGUUUAAUUUUGAAAAGCUUGAGCUUGCUCCUGGUCUAAAAGCCCAAUUUAUUAGAUUUUGGUUAAUUAUUUUGAUUUCACAAAUAUGAAUUACCCAUCCCUGAUAACUAACUCGUCACAAAAAUAAAAUAAACUAAAAAAAAAGUUUCUUUUUGCAUUUUAAUACUUCAAAAAUAAACAAUUAAAACAAGCAUACUGUUAUGCCGUUGGUGAACACACCAAACAGCAAGGUUUCCACACUUUUCAAGCAAGUGCAAGCUCCCAGAAUUUUAAAGAAACGAGUGAAAGGCAAGAGAGAAUAGAGAGGAAAAUUCAGAGAAGAAGAAACUAAGUCCAGAAUUUAUAUCUAUAUCCCCUCAAAUACAACCAUGGAAAUACUUAUAGCAGCAAGAAUAUGCUCACAGCUGUCAAAACUAAAUAACAACCUCUCUCUAUAACAAGAAUUAUUCUCUAAAUGGCUAAGGCCGUUAGAAACCGAGUCCUCUACUCAUAUAUGCUCAGUGUGUGUAAUCCUUGAACCAUUUAGGAGGCUUCCUUACGCGACUUGGCUUGAUGUUAUCUUGGGGUCGGUUUUGGAUAGCCUCGCUUGAGUUUGCCUGGGCCUUUUCCUCGCUAUUGAUAGAGCUAGCUGAGUUGGGCUUGUCUAACUGUAAUAUUGGGGUUGUAUCACCCUCCACUCCUUGAGGAAUCACCUUGUCCUCAAGGUGAAAAUUUGGGUACUGCUUAGUGAAUUCGGAAAGAGCUUCCCAUGUUGCAUUCUCAGGAGCACAAUCCUGCCACUGCACUAAAAUUUGGGAUUGUGGGAUGCCAUGAACCAACACUUGACGUUGAGCACAAAUAGCAAUGGGAACAGACAUAGGCUGGUUAUUGUAAGACUCGCUAGGUAGUGAGUGAACUUGUGAGGUAUCCUGACCAUGAAACGGCUUGAGAAGGGAGAUGUGAAAGACUGGAUGAAUCUUAGAAUCAGGAGGUAAAUCCAAGCGAUAGGCCACAGCGCCAAUACGCUCCAUUACUCGAAAAGGACCAUAGUAUCGCUUCGCUAGCUUGUUGGAUAAUCUGUUUGCAACUGAUAUUUGCCGAUAAGGCUGCAACUUAACCAAAACUUGAUCCCCGACCUGAAGCUCUAGCUCACGGCGAUGAGCAUUAGCCUUUUGCUGCAUUCUAUGUUGAGCUGCUCGCAAGUUGGUUUUCAAGGCUGUUAGGAGGGCAUCACGUUCCAGCAGCAAUUCAUCAAGUGCUUGGAUUGAAGUAGAGCUCCCGGUAUAUGAAGGAAUUACAGGUGGCUCACGACCAUACAAGGCCUUAAAAGGAGACAUUUGGAUGCUUGUAUGAAAGCUAGUGUUGUAAGAAAACUCAGCCCAGCCUAAAUAAUCGAACCACAAUGUCGGUUUCGCUUGUGUGAAUACUCGCAAAUACUGCUCGAGUCCUCGAUUAACAACCUCUGACUGGCCAUCCGUUUGAGGAUGAUAUGCUGUACUAUGCUUCAAUGUGGUACCACUUAACUCAAAGAGUUUCUUCCAAAAGCUACUAAGAAAGAUAGAGUCACGAUCUGAAAUUAUUGUACGGGGAAAACCAUGGUGCUUAACAACCAUAUCAGUGAAUAAAAGGGCUGUUUUGCUUGCUGUAAAGUGUGUGGGUAGAGCACCAAAAUGAGCUGAUUUUGUCAAUCGGUCAACAACGACUAAGAUAACAGUGAACCCAUGGGAAGAUGGUAAACAUGUGAUGAAGUCCAUGGUAACUUCCUCCCAAACUAGUGAAGGUAUAGGCAAGGGUUGAAGGAGUCCAGCUGGUGCCUGAGUAGAGUAUUUUGUUUGCUGACAUAAUAAACAAGAGGCAACAAAUAACUCCACAUCCUUGCGCAUAUUUGGCCAAUAAAAGAGAGUGGAUAGACGAACUAAUGUCCGCUUGACUCCCGCAUGACCUGCAACUGGUGUGGCAUGAAAUUCUUGUAAUAAAGAAGGCUUCAAAACAGAGUGAGAGCUGAUGAAGAAUCUGUUUUUGAACCGUAGGAUUCCAUCCGAGACCGAAUAAGGAUACAUUAAAGAACCAGUGGAAUACUUCUGAUGGAGAGCUAAGAGAUCCGGUAAGGACUGAUUUUCCGCACGAAGAAUAGAGAGGAAUUCAGGAAUAGGACAGCUAGCGAGUAACAGAGUAGCAGUAGAAUGGCCAUAUAAUAUAGGGACAUCAACUUCAUGUACCCUGGAUAAGGCAUCAGCUGCACUAUUAGUUCGACCCGGCUUAUAUUCAACCCUGAAAUGAUACCCCAGUAAUUUACGAACAUAAAAUUGUUGCUCUGGAGUUUGGAUAACCUGCUGAAGGAGCUCUCGAAUACUUUUCUGGUCAGUGCGGAUAAUAAAGAAAUGGCCUAACAAGUAUUGUCUCCACUUAUGUACUGCUUCGGCAAUGGCAUGAAGUUCUUUGAUAUAAGUAGAAGCGACAAGCAUGCGAGGACCCAAUUUUUGGCUAAAAUAAGCAAUAGGAUGAUCAGCUUGCAUCAGUACAGCUCCAAUACCAACAUUCGAGGCAUCCGUUUCAAUAACAAAAUCCAAUUGAAAAUCUGGCAAGCGAAGGACUGGUGCUGCACUCAUAGCUUGUUUUAAGGCAGCGAAGGCCGUGUCAGCUGCGGAGGACCAAUGGAAACCAUCCUUCCGUAAUAAAUCUGUGAGAGGGGCAGCAAUGGAAGCAUAUCCUUUAAUAAAGCGACGAUAGUAGCCUGUGAGACCCAAGAAUCCUCGCAAUUGUUUUGUCGUAGACGGCGUAGGCCAAUUAGACAUGACCACCAACUUGCGAGGAUCAGCCUUAACUCCAGAAGAGGAAACAAUAUGGCCGAGAUAUUCAACGUUAUCUUGGCAAAAAAAACACUUUGAGAGCUUCACAAAAAAAUGAUUAGUAUGAAGACAAUCAAAUACUCUAUGUAAAUGCUCAAAAUGGUCUUCUAGAGAAGUGCUGUACACUAAGAUAUCGUCAAAGAAAACGAUCACAAACUUACGGAGAUAAGGAGCAAAGAGCCUAUUCAUUGUCGCUUGAAAGGUGGAAGGAGCAUUAGAAAGUCCAAAAGGCAUGACAAGGAACUCAAAAUGCCCAUCAUGAGUCCGAAAAGCUGUUUUAUAAAUAUCCCUAUCACAUACUCGUAUUUGAUGGUACCCCGCUCGCAAAUCUAGCUUACUGAAAAUACAAGCACCACCAAGCUCGUCUAAUAACUCAUCAAUAGUUGGUAUCGGAAAUUUGUCUUUAAUUGUUACUGCGUUCAAGGCUCGGUAAUCUACACAAAAACGAUAGGAGCCAUCUUUCUUUUUAACCAGCAACACAGGUGAAGAGAAUGGGCUCUGACUUGGGCGAAUAAUGCCUUGAUCAAUCAUUUCUGUAAUUAGUCUCUCCAUUUCGGCCUUUUGGAAGUGAGGAUAACGGUAUGGGCGAACAUUGACAGGUUUAGUAUUUGGGAGGAGAUGAAUGUGAUGGUCAAUAAGUCUAUGAGGAGGUAGAGAAGAUGGAGUGUGAAAUAAUUGCUCAUAUUGAUGAAGAAGGGCAAGUACAGGGGAAGGAAAAUCGGGUGGGAAGUCAAACUUAGUAGCAGUGGUUGGAACAGAGAGGGUAUCCUGCGCGUCUGUAGUAGUAUGCAACUGGAAAAAUUCAAAGAGGCCGUGGAUUUGAUCAUGGGACAUGAGGGCUUGUAAUUGAUGAAAAGAAAUCGGUCGUGGAGACAAUGAGAGAUCACCUCGCAGGAAGACAGGAGAGCCAUUAUAGAAAAAUUCCAUUGACAAUGCCGCAUAGUCAUGAGAGACUUUGCCAAGCAGCUGUAACCAUUGAAUUCCGAGGACAAUAUCCGGUCCCUCAAUAGGAAGAACAUAGAGGUCGAUGUAGAAAACAUGGCCUUGCAUAGAUAAGGCGACUUGGGAACAAACAUAUCGACAAACUAAAGAAUCACCAUUACCGAUAUAUACCCGGAAUGUGGUAGUGUCAUGUACUGCUAACCCCAAAACUUCAGCCACAGCGGGUUUAAUAAAAUUAUGAGUGCUACCACUAUCGAUAAGUACUUGCACGGGCUGUUGAUUAAUUUCACCAAGGAGUCGUAGAGAGCGAGGAGUAUUUUGGCCCGCUAAGGCAUUUAAACUGGAGAUAUCACCAGCUAUAAUAGUUUCCUCAACAACAUCUGAGAUCUCAGAAUUAAUUGGUGGACCCAUCGCCUCGUCAACGUCCUCUGUUCCUAAAAGAAGCAGAAACUUACUACGGCAUCUAUGAGAGUGGCUCCACUUCUGGUCGCAAUUGUAGCAGAGCCCUUUCUCCCUUUUUUCACGAAGUUCUUGAGGAGAAAGACGCUUAAUAGGGAGAGAUGGCGUUGGUAAAAGUGGGGGUAAAGUGGACGGGGCAGGUUGAGGUGGGUUGAGGGCAGGGGCACUUGCAGGACUGUGAUUGGUUGUAGUAGGGUGAAAGGAUGAUGUGGUGGUUUUGUGGGUCCACUUAGACCAAGGUCUGGACGUAACUUUACUCUCAUCUCCACGUGCUUCAAACAUACGAGCCAGUGCAAAUGCCUCCAUCAACGAGGAAGGUCGUGACAGCAACAGCUCGCGACGAAUAUCCACUCGCAACCCCAUGAUAAAAAAUGAGAUAAGAAGAGGCUCGGAAAUACCAGUGACUUUAUUCAUGAGGUCCUCAAACUCAGUUUGAAAUUCUGCCACACUUGAUUUCUGAGUAAGUUUGGAUAGAUUGCCUUGGUGGUCCUCGUACAGGGAAGCUCCGAAACGAAACUUCAGAUUUUGAAGAAAAUCCUUCCAACUGGUAAGAAGAUCAUUCGCCUUCAUCCAUUGGUACCAAGCCGAAGCGCGACCUUCCAAAUGAAAAGACACGAUGCGGAGACGAAGAGCGUCGGAUGUGCCAUGGAAAUCGAAAUACUCAUUGAUGCGAAAAGCCCAACCGUUUGGGUCAGUUCCAUCAAAUUUUGGGACCUCGAGUUUCAUUGUUCGCAAGAGAGGAUUGGAGUCAUGGGUGCCCGAUGAACCAUCAGAUAUCUGUGAAAACAGGGGUGGAUUCGAAGGUCCAGUUGUUGGACCCGAAGGUAACCCCUUGAUCUGAGAACGCAAGUCCUCCAAGCGAGAAUCCACGGUAAGCAUGUAUUGUUGCAGCGUGUGAUGAACUGCGACCGUUUGGCUAUCAAGUUUUGUUUGUAAAGCUUUAAUGGCAUCUAGAAUCUCCGAAUCAGCCAUGAUGAGUAAAUAGCAAUGAAAGCACCAAUGUUAUGCCGUUGGUGAACACACCAAACAGCAAGGUUUCCACACUUUUCAAGCAAGUGCAAGCUCCCAGAAUUUUAAAGAAACGAGUGAAAGGCAAGAGAGAAUAGAGAGGAAAAUUCAGAGAAGAAGAAACUAAGUCCAGAAUUUAUAUCUAUAUCCCCUCAAAUACAACCAUGGAAAUACUUAUAGCAGCAAGAAUAUGCUCACAGCUGUCAAAACUAAAUAACAACCUCUCUCUAUAACAAGAAUUAUUCUCUAAAUGGCUAAGGCCGUUAGAAACCGAGUCCUCUACUCAUAUAUGCUCAGUGUGUGUAAUCCUUGAACCAUUUAGGAGGCUUCCUUACGCGACUUGGCUUGAUGUUAUCUUGGGGUCGGUUUUGGAUAGCCUCGCGUGAGUUUGCCUGGGCCUUUUCCUCGCUAUUGAUAGAGCUAGCUGAGUUGGGCUUGUCUAACUGUAAUAUUGGGGUUGUAUCACAUACUCUAAACUUAGUUAUUCUAAUUUCAUCAUCUUAAAAAAGUAACAGUAAUAUAACCUAGAGGGUGUUUAUUUUUUAACUUGAUGACUUAAAGUGACUUAACUUAGUUAAUUAAGUUAAUUAAAUGUGCUUAUUUUUAUAACUUAAUGGGACUUUUCACAUAAUUUUAGCUUAAUAUAAUAAGCCAAUUAUUUUGGCUUUUUACUAAAUAGAGAAAUUUAAAUUACCCAACUAAUUUCUAAUGUUAAAAAUAUCACCACUUUAUUAUUUAUUUUGUACCUAUCCGAAAACCCACCAAUACACAUUUACCCACUAAUAAUCCCAUCUUUAUUUUUUUAACCGUCAUGGAAUCUCUCCUCACUUCGCUUCUCUCAUUAAGUUUUUGGAUCUCCCAUUAUCGGUAAUCAAAGGUAUUAUUCUUAAACUUCUUUAAAUAAUUAUAUAAUAUGUUAUUAACACACACAAACACACACAUAUAUAUAGUUCCAAAAUCAUUAUGUAUUCACUUGAACAUGGUCUUUCUAUAUAUUAUAAAAUAUUAUGGUACUUAUGUUUUUUGAGAGAUAUAUAUUAUUUGUUUGAUAUUCAAGUUUUAUAAGGAUACAAGUGUCAAAGUACAUGUUUUUAGUUUUUAAAAUUGAAAAAAAUAAACAAUUUAGUAUUUAUUUUAGAGAUUCAGAAAAAAAAAAAUAUAUAUUAUUCAGGUUCAGACAUUCACCUCUAUUCAGAUUUCAUACUAAUUUAGGCCUAUUCAGAUUUGAGAAUAAAAAAAAAAGGCCCCGUAUAAGUCAAUAUAUGUUGCCUUAACUUCAUUGGACACAGAUCUAUUAUUGCUGCCAUUACAUCGCCACCGAUAAAGUGUAUGCACCAUUCAAAGCAUGCAUUGAACAUAGAAUUCUCAUAUAUCGUUUUCAAAACAUAAAAACCAUCAAGAAAUAUGAAUGAUGUCGUUAACAUCAGAGUCGUAGUGUUAUAUAUUGUUACUUGAGUAUUCUAAUUUGUAACAUAUUUCGAACGUGCUCCUGACUAUGUCUUUGCAUCAUAACUGGCCUAAACUGGUCAUGUGAAAUGUUUGGAAAAUAGUUUCAAAGAGGAGUGGAGCUAUGACCUAGCUAUUUAUCCCAGUUGUGUGAACCAAAUCUAAACAUUCCAGAUAUCGUAUGUAGAUGAAGUUACUGAUGAGGAAAGAAGGGCGGUUGAAGAUUUACAAGUCAUUUUCGUAUCAAAUUACUUGUACACGGGCAUGACCAUCACCUCCUCUUGUGGCGCCCCUUCAAAUAUCCAUCAAUGUAGGGCACCCAAAUCCAAUUUGAAGACUAUAAGCGAUGUAUAUGGAGAGUAACACUUUAGUCAAUGAUAGGUUUUUAAUGCCUCGUUGCAUCUCUUAUGUUCAAACAGAAUAAACACAACUAGAGAAUUAUUGGAGAGUAGAUAUCUAUACAAAGAGCACAAUAAGGCACACGCACAAAAGAAAUCUAUCUAUAAAGCGCACAAUAAGGCACGCACAUAAAUGGAACUAACAGAGAAAGUUAAGAAAAUGACAGAAGCCAUGAAGAAAAUCCAGGAUGUUCGUUCAUUUUAUGAAUACAAUGAGCCUUUGUUGGAGAUUUUGGCCUCAUUUUCAGCAGACGAGAAGGUCAUACUUGUCGGACACAGCUUCGGAGGCUUGAGUGUGGCCCUGGCAGCUGACAAGUUCCCACACAAAAUUUCAGUUGCUAUUUUCUUAACAGCAUUCAUGCCAGACACCAAACACCAACCAUCUUAUGUUGUGGAGCGGGUAUUUGAAUAAUUUAUUUCAUUGUUUAUUCAUUUAGAGAAAAUAUUAAUUGUCCAACCAUCAUUUCCUUCAAUUUCAACCCAAAAAAAAAAUAAAAUCAAAACCUUUGAAUUUGUUGUCCACCCAAAGUUUGGAAAUCUUAUCACCUUCCCAUCUUCUGUUAACAUUGUUAGAGCAUCUUAAUAAAAUGAUUCUUUUAUUGUUGAAGUGUCGUUUAACAAUGGAUGAAAAAUUGAUAUAUGUAUAUAUAUAUAUUUUUUUUUUUUCCUGAACAAAUUAAGAAUUUUUUAUUUUUUAUUUUAUUUUAAAUCAGAGGAAACUAUCGGUGGUCAAUUGACAAUGAUCUUUUUGUUUCUGUUAAAAAGUUUAGUGAAAGCAUUCCAAGGGAAGAACGUUUGGACACUCAAUAUUCAAUAAUUGACAAAUCAAAUCCAUCUCGCAUGUCGAUUUUGUUUGGGCACAAGUUCUUGACUCUCAAGCUCUAUCAGCUUAGUCCUCCCGAGGUAUUUCUCUCGAACAUCACUUUCACUUGCCUUGAUAUUUUCCACCAUAAAUCAAUAAUAAUUUUCAGUGGUAAAAUAGUAAAAGAUGUGAAAAAAAUUAAAUAAAAAAAUUAAAAACUAACUUUACUUUUUAUUGAGAGUUUGAAUCCACAAAAUUUGUAGUACAGGCCACAUUUUAUCAGGUAUUAGUUCAAAAUUUACUUCCACUUAUAGUAAGGUAGAAAAUUACAACUAAUUCACAUUUUUUAAUAGAGAUUGAAAUGAGCCCCAUGUGGGGACUUGAUCUCAUCUCUCGCGAGGAGAACGGAUUCUGCAGGAUGGUCCUACUUCCUCAAACAGUCAAAAAUAGUUUGCCACUUGACUAAGAUUUUAAAUAAUUUUUUAAUAUUGAAUUUUGGUAACCCACUGCUGUGCCAAGUGGUAGAGCAAUAUUGGUUGGUUCUACCACCUCAAUAAGCCAAGGUGAGUAGGAGAAGUUCUAUAAUAUAUUAGAGGUACUAUGUUAGUCAUGCAAUAAGUAAAUAAUACCGUGAUAUGUAUGUGUUUAUUUUGAAAAACCACCAUGUAAGUGAUGAUUAUAUUAAAUUCAAUUAUACAUUUCAUACAUAUAUUAAUUAAUUGUAUUAUCUCAAAUAUAUUUUAGAAUUUCUCGAUGAUUAGACCAGCAUAUAUAAGUUUUUCUCCCUCAUCAAUCUAAUCUAUUUCACUAUCAUACAAUUAUUAUAUCUUAAUUAAACAUUGUAUAUCAAUUAUAUUUACUUUAUUUUGAAUUAAAGGAUUUGGAGCUAGCAAAGAUGUUAGUGAGGCCAGGAUUACUAUUUACAGAUGAAUUAUCCAAGGCAAAUAAGUUCAGUAAUGAAGGAUAUGGAUCAGUAAAGCGAGUUUUUGUUGGAAGCGAGAAGGAUGAUUGUAUUCCUAAGGAAUUUCAGCAGUGGAUGAUCCAAAACAAUCCUGUUAAUGAGGUGAUGGCGAUCAAAGGUGCUGAUCAUAUGGCAAUGCUUUCCAAGCCCCAACCACUUUCUGAUUGUUUCUCUCAGAUUGCUCAUAAGUAUGCUUAAUUAACUGAAAAAUAAAUAAGAAUGAUAUGGCCA